UAAAUAACUGUCUACAAAAAUCUCUAACAAAUGAUUAAGUCAAGUAACUGUAUAUAAACUGGAACAAGGCCCCUAGUAGACCCCAAAACUAAAUAUAAGUUAAAGGACGGCAGGACAUAAGAGUUUACGAAACAUAGAAGGCUCACCACUUGUCUUUGCAACUCUGUCUGAAUGAUCUACUGAUUCUCUUGACCCCUAGACUGGGCCUCUGAACCUGAGAGGUUGGAUAGGGGGAGGGGGUCAGCACAAAAGUACUGGCAUGCAGAGAUAUCAAAACAAAACAUAAUAUUUUUACAAAAUAUAGUUGAGUGCCAUUAUAAAGCAAUUUCGUGUCAAAUCAAUUGAGAACACAUGGGAAUAAUGCAAUAGUUUCUCAAUAACAAUGAAAUGCAACUGAGCUAGAUGGAAUACCCUACAUAAUUUACACCAACUGUCUAAGCUCGGUUGCCACCAAGAUUAGAGUAUAAGUGAGGGAGAGACACACAAGACCACGAAGCAUGGUGUCUCGACCCACUGGUAGUGCCCAAGAUCACUUAGCUCGGGCUCCUACCUAUAGUCCCUAUUGGGAAUGACAUAAAGUCAAGUACACAAGAUCACUUAGACUGGUAUCAAAUUUCCAUGUCGGCAAACACGUUUUCCAGCGAUGAGCCCUUACACUCAAAUACCUUCUUCGGGCAUCCACCUAUCUCAUGUUAAAUCAAUGCAUUCGAAUUUCAUCUAAUUCAAUCACAUAUCAUAUUCUAUAGGGUAUCAUCAUACCCGACUUGCAAGUCAUCAAUAUCACAUCCACAUAUGUAUAAUCAUGUAAAAACCAAGGUGCAUCAUCAUUUACAAGUGGUGAACAAUAAUUAUUUCAAAUUCAUGCUCUCUUUUGUUGAUCACAAUAUGAUAUGGGGUAUCAAGACAUUAUUAUGGGAAUUUGAAAGUAAUUUAUUAUUCUUAUUUAUCAAACUUCCAUGGAAAAUCUCAAAUCACAUAUGCAUGGUUUCAACUAUUGAAGUAUAUAAGCAAACAAUUCACAUGACAUAAAGAAAAAUGACUUAGAAAUCGUAUUGAAAGCAAGUUAUUAGCAUUUGAUUGAAAACCCCCAUUUAAAAGCAUGCAUGUUCAUAAAAACUACACCCAAGAGAUUUUUGGAUAACCCCACGUACCUCUAUUUCCAAAGAUAAUAGAUGUUUCUUGAAGCUUGCGGAUUGGCGAUUCCAAAUAUGUAAUUAUCUUCGAAAACCUACGAUCGAAUCUUGAACUACUUGGGUUUUUAUUUUGAAACCCUAAGGAGAAUAAUUGAGUACUUUUGAUGAAUGAAGGUGUAUUUUGGAGUCCUUAGAACUGAAUUUCGUGUUUUAGGGCUAAGUAAAGGUGGAAAAGGACCAUUUUCCCCCCAAAACGGAGUGUUUAAGUCACUUGAAGUCUUUACAUAGGCGCCACCCAUCCCAUUGCGUAUGUUUACAUAGGCUUCGCCUAGGCUAUCACCUAUGUUUACAUAGGCGCCGCCUAGGCUAUCACCUAUGUUUACAUAGGCGCCGCCUAGGCUAUCGCCUAUGCUUUCCAGUGGCCAUGGGCGAUUGGUUAGGCGACGCAUAUCACAUUAAAAGGCCAUAACUUCUUGCUUGGCUGUCGAAUUUUAGCAAAAUUGGUAUCGUUGUAAAGUUAACUCGAAGAGCUAUCAUUUGACAUGUAGUAGGCUCCCUAAUUCGACAUAAAUAGAGAGUUAUGGUCGAUGGAAGAUGAUACACUUUACCACGUCCACUAAAACUUAGUCGAUCGAUAUAGUUUCAACUCAUCCUUGAGUUGAAGGACCUCUAUGGUCUAAAUUCAAGCUUGAAUGGAUUCACAUGCUACAUAAUUAAUUGACAUGCUGUAUUGGCAUAGGAUUUUAUGGCUUUGGGAUUUAUCAAUACAUUAGAAUCAUGGUCUAUAUUGUAGCCCAAAUUACGGGGCAUUACAUUAUCCCCCCUUAGGAUCAUUCAUCCCAGAAUGAUGAUGCAGGACACAGACAGACACGAUUUUAAGCAUAAUAAAGGACUAGAAAAGUUAAGACAGGAAUAAUACCUUUUGUCUCAUCCUCUAUCGAAGCAAACAAAUUGGGAUAUCUAAUUGUCAUGUCAUCUUCUGAAUCCCAAGUUGCUUUUUUGACUUUCUGAUUUCUCCACAGUACCUUUACUGAGGCUAUCUCCUUGCUCCCCAGCUUUCAAACUUGGCAAUCUAAAAUUUCAAAGGGCUUUUCUUCGUAAGACAAAAAGUCUGUCACUUUGAUACCCUCUAUUGGCAAUACCAGGGAAUGAUCUCCAAUGUAUUUCUUGAACAUGGAUACAUGGAAUACCGGAUGAAUGGAACCCAAACUUGCAGGGAAUUCUAGCUCAUAAUCAACUCUACCAAUCUUUUUUCAGAAUCUGAUAUGGCCCUAUAUAGUGAGGGCUCAAUUUACCCCUUUUUCCAAACCGCAUAACUCCUUUCAUAGGAGAAACCUUGAGAAACACCCAAUCACCAACUUCAAACUCUAGUUCUCUUCUCCGAACAUCGACAUAGGACUUCUGACGACUCUGAGCAGUCUUGAGUCAUUCUCUAAUAAUCUUCACUUUCUCCAUCGCCUAAUGAACAAGAUCAGGCCUAUACAACUGAGUCUCACCCACUUCAUACCAUCCUAUCGGAGACCUACAUCUCCUCCCAUACAAAGCCUUAAAAGGAGCCAUCUUGAUGCUAGCAUGGUAAUUAUUAUUGUAAGCAAAUUCAACCAGUGGCAGGUGAUCUUCCCAACUACCUUUAAAAUCAAUAACGCAUGCCCUCAACAUAUCCUCGAGGGUCUGAAUGGUACGCUCAGCUUACCCAUCCAUAUGAGGGUGGAAAGUUGUCCUCAAAUUCACUUGUGUACCUAAACCCUUCUGAAAAGAUCUCCAAAACUAAGAUGAAAACUGCGUACCUCAAUCGGAUAUAAUGGAAACUAGUGCCCCAUGCAACCAAACUAUCUCAUUAAUGUAAAUCUUAGCAUAACCCUCUCUCAAAUAAUUAGUCCUCACAGGCAAAAAGUGGGCUAACUUUGUCAACCGAUCUACAAUCACCCAUAUAGAAUCAUACUGGAUUCGGGAUAUCGGAAGUCCUGUAAUGAAGUCCAUGUUUAUUAUCUCUUACUUCCAUAAAGGCAGGGCUAUCUCUUGGGAAGUACCACCUAGCCUCUUGUGUUCUACCUUCACUUGUUGAUAGUUCAAACACUUGGACACAAAAUCAGCUACAUCACGUUUCAUGUUAUUCCACCAAUACAAAGUUUUCAAAUCAUGGUACAUCUUAGUAGAGCCUGGGUGAAUGGCAUACCUCAAAGUGUGCGGCCCAUUAAAGAUUCUUUCCCAUAGCCUAUCAACAUUUAGAAUGCACAACCUACCCUGAAAUCUUAGAAUACCAUCAACACAAAUUUUAAACGACAUAACCUUUUGUUGACCCACAUCUUUCUUGAUUUCCAUCAAGAUGGGAUCUCCAACCUACUUCUCUUUAACUUCAACACAAAGGGAUGACUUAGCCAACUCAUGAAUAAUCACCCUUCUAUCUUUGGAAUCUAAGAGUCGCACUCCCAGAUUUGCAAGGCGGUGAAUAUCCUUCACCAUCUCUUUCUUUCCUUCUUCUACAUGAGAAAGGCUACCUAUAGACAACCUGCUGAGGGCAUCGGCCACAAUAUUUGCCUUGCUCGGAUGGUAAUGCAGACUCAUAUCAUAGUCCUUCAAAAGCUCCAUCCAACGCCUCUGCUUGAGGUUCAAUUCUUUCUGUGAGAAAAAAUACUGCAAACUCUUAUGGUAAGUAUAAAUAUCAACAUGCACUCCAUAGAGAUAGUGCCUCCAGAUUCUAAGUGCAAACACCACGGCUGCUAAAUCCAAGUCAUGAGUGGGGUAAUUGAGCUCAUGAACCUUUAAUUGCUUAGAUGCAUAAGCUAUCACCUUACCACGCUGCAUCAAUACACAACUAAGUCCCACAUGGGACGCAUCACAAUAAUCCACAAAAUCAUCUACACCCUCAGGAAGGGUCAAAACGGGAGCAGUAGUCAGCUUGUCCUUCAACUUCUCAAAACUAUUUUCACACAAGUCAGACCACACAAACUUCAUCUUUUUCUAAGUUAGUUUAGUAAGAGGAUUAGCUAUGGAAGAAAAACUCUCUAAGAAAUUUCUGUAUUACCCCACCAAACCCAAGAAGCUCUGAAUAUCGGUUGGAGUCGUGGGUCUGGGCCAUUUUCUCACUUCUUCAACUUUCUGGGGAUCUACUCUUAUCCCGUCACUGGAUACGAUAUGCCCCAGGAAGGCAAUAGCAUUUAACCAGAAUUCACACUUAGAAAAUUUGGCAUACAGCUGAUGAUACUUAAGGGUCUGAAGAAUAAUUCAGAGGAGAUUAGCGUGAUCCUCUUUACUCUUAGAAUUGAUCAGAAUAUCAUCGAUAAAUACAAUGAUGAACAAGUCAAGAAACUGAUAAAACACUCUAUUCAUAAGAUCCAUGAGGGCUGCAGGGGCUUUAUUCAACCCGAAGGACAUGACUAGAAAUUUGUAGUGACCAUAUCGGGUUCGGAAAGCUGUCUUGGGUAUGUCUAACUCCCUAACUUUCAACUGAUGAUAACCCGAAUGAAGGUCUAUUUUUGAAUAACACUUGGCACCCUGAAGCUGGUCAAAAAGGUCGUCAGUCCUAGGAAGUGGAUAUUUAUUUUUAAUCAUGACCUUAUUCAACUGGCGGUAGUCUAUGCACAUCCGAAGGGACCUAUCCUUCUUUCGCAUGAAGAGCACGGGUGCACCCCAUAGAGAAACACUAGGACCAAUAAAACCUUUGUCUAGGAGGUCUGUAAGCUGUUCCUUUAACUCUUUUAGUUCUACAGGAGCCAUUCUAUAUGGUAGAAUAGAAAUAGGACGAGUGUUUGGCAACACAUCAAUGCCAAAAUCUAUCUCCCUAUCAGGGGGUAUCCCUGGGAGAUCUUCGGCAAAGACUUCUAGGAAUUCAGUCACUACAGGGACUGACUGCAGAGGAAGAUUUUGAACUUUUGAAUCUUUUACUCAGAUUAGACGAUAGAUACCACCUUUGGAGAUAAGCUUUCGGGCUCUAAGAUAAGAGAUAAAGUGACCUAUAGGUUCUACAGAACUCUUUGCCCAUACAAUUGGUGUCUCAUUCGGAAAAGAAAAAGUGACCUUUCGGGUUCUGCAAUCAAGGGUGGCAUAACGCAAAUGGAUUCAGUCCAUUCCAAGGAUGGCAUCAAAAUCUAUCAUACCAAGUUCUGUAAGGUCUGCCAUAGUUUCCCUACUAUGAAUAGACACGACACAAUUUCCAUACACCCUUCUUGCAAUAAUAGAAUCACCCACAGAAGUGGAAUCAGAGAAGGGUUCUACAAUAACUUCGGGCUCAAACCCGAAACAAAAAGCCACAUAAUGGGUCACAUAAAAUAAAGUAGACCCUGGAUUAAGCAAUACAUAAACAUCACGAGAGAGGAUUUGUAAUAAACAUCACGAGAGAGGAUUCGUAACAUACCAGUGACAACAUUUGGUAAAGCUUCCGCCUCCUGGCGGUUAGUCAAAGAAUAUAACCAGUUGCGACCACCCCCAGCAGCUGAAGGGGCACCUUUAGGAAGAGGAGCUGUGGAGGCAGCUUAGGACUUAGACCCCCCUCCCCCUCCCCUCCGCAUUUUCUCUAGCAGAAGGACAAUCUCUCUGAAGGUGACCCACUUUGCCAUAAGUAUAGCGGUUUCUCCUCUCAAACUAGCACUUCCCUAGAUGAUUCCUUCCGCAAAUCUCGCACCAUGGAUUAGUAUGAUGCUGCUGGGCCACACUACCCUGAGACUGUGUAUCUAGAUCUUUGGAUCCAUGGGCAGUCCAAAACCUCUGAGUUUGUCUGUCUGUCGGUGGUCUGGGUGCUGGGGGGUUGGCUGCUGACUGUGCAUUAUUCCAAAACUUCUUCUUCUUCGACCACUUAUCACCCUAGUUACCACUCUGCAUCUGACUCUGGAUCUAGCUUUCUUAGCCUGUCUAUCUUUCUAUCUAGAUUCAAUAAUCUUUUUCUUCUUCUUUUUCACCUACUGCAUAUAAACGGUCAGUCAAGCAAAGUCUAACUCCUUAUUCAACAUAGACCCUUGGCACCCAAGUACCAGGUUAUCAGCAAGGCCAGAUGCAAAUUUCCUCAUUCGGGAUCUCAUAUUAUUGGUCAACUCUGGUGCAAAGUGGGCUAGUUUAUUAAACUUCAAAGUGUAGUCCUGGACACUCAUACUGCCCUGCUUUACAUUCAUAAACUCUUCCGCUUUGGUCUCCCUCAAAUCCAGAGGAAAGAAUUCAUCAAGGAAAGCUUCCACAAAUUCGCCCCAAAUUGUGGGCUCAGCACUUUCACCUUUUGUAUCUUCCUAGUCGGCAUACCACUGAUAUGCAACGCCCUUGAGCUGAUAGAUUACUAGCUCUACCCCUUUAACCUCAUCCACAUGUAUCAACUUAAAGAUCUUUCCCAUCUCAUCCACAAACACCUGUGGAUCUUCCUCUACCUUGGUGCUAGUGAACCUAGGUGGGUUCAUCUUCAAGAUUUGAAAGUGCUCAAGAAGGAUUCAUUGCCACCUUAUGUGUGGUAGCGGGCGAACUAAGGAUUUCGUGCUUUCAAGGAAGCGUGCAAGUGGGUGAACGCACGGCCGAAGGCUCUGCAACACGUUGGAGAGCUUUUAGAUCAGGGUCCUCUCAUUUUCUAAUCGCAUUCAUAUUAUGGAAAGCAGCCAAGCAGGUCGCAGGGGAAGUCAUCCCAAGCCUACUAAUAUCGCUCCGUACCCAACCACCGCUUAUCUGAGCUAUAAAAAAGAGGCGAGAAAUGUCCAACUCUAGUAGCCUCAGACGUAACAGAUGCAGAUCCAACAACUCUGUCAACAUAUGAAUAGAACGUCUGAAUUCUGCAUUUCAAAUAUAUCCUUGAGUAGCUAAGAGACGGUUUACAUUAGUCCGCGGAGCUCGAGGUGGAUUGGUCGAGAAUGAAGGGACUCCCAGAGUAGGGAUAAAACAUUUCCUGAACUUCUAGUAGCCUCCUGUUUAUAAGUGUGGUGCGCUACACACCCAUAAAUAGGACUCUACCCGAUGCGAUUUUGCAGAUACCUUGGGACCAUGAACCAUGCUUUGACACCAAGUUUGUCACAACCCGAACUAGGGCCUGGCCAUGACAAGCAUUUUAAACCAUGGAGGCCUAAAACACCCCUAUCUGUCUGGUAAUUAUGCACCUAAUUCAUAUGAUCAAAGUAAUGCAGAGGAAACACAAUAAUUCAAAAACAUGGUCAUGAAUAUGAAAAGAAACAAUAACGGGGAAAUAAGGUUCCCCCAACAUCAAUCAACCUCUAAACAACUGUCUGCGAAAAUCUCUAACAAAUGACUAAGUCAAGUAACUGUAUAUAAACUGGAACAAGGCCCCCAGUAGACCCCAAAACUAAAUAUAAGCUAAAGGGAUGCAGGACAUAAGACCUUCCAAAACAUAGAAGGCUCACCACUUGUCUCUGCAACUCUGUCUAAAUGAUCUACUAAUUC
rnacentral:lncRNA from 1 species